rnacentral:rRNA from 1 species
UACGAAGGGGGCGAGCGUUGUUCGGAAUUACUGGGCGUAAAGGGCGCGCAGGCGGCCUUAGAAGUCAGAUGUGAGAGCCCCGGGCUCAACCUGGGAAUGGCAUUUGAUACUCUGAGGCUGGAGUACGGGAGAGGAGAGUGGAAUUCCCAGUGUAGAGGUGAAAUUCGUAGAUAUUGGGAAGAACACCGGUGGCGAAGGCAGCUCGCUGGGACGUGACUGACGCUGAGACGCGAAAGCGUGGGGAGCAAACAGG